rnacentral:lncRNA from 1 species
GCAUAUUAUUAUUAUAAGUUACAAUACCGCACAUCUGAUGGUUCAUCGAGAUUGUAGCUUCAAACAGGGAUGACUAGGCUGUGAUACCCUUGAGUAAAGUACUCAGUCUGACAUCAUCAUGGCCCAGUUAUGGAGACAUAUCUGGAACAAUAUUACAUAUAAAAAUUAAGCAUAUUAAAUAAUGAAAUACUUUAGAUCCGACGCUGAAAUGCACUCACGUGACUAAUUACGCGCGCAUGUGGUAAUGUGUGUUUUUUGCAGCCGCUGUUUACGUGGUGUCUCUGGAUUUUUUUUGUUCCAGCAAUACAAGCCGAACGAGUGCGCGCACGAGGGUAUGAAUGAUGCUUGAUGGGUCGCGCUAAACAGCCAACGCUGCGCUCGAGUGACGGAUGAAAGGGGAUUUUUUUGGGCUGCGGAGACGCUGUUUGCGUUCGGGACAGCGGGGUGCGGGGGGGGCUGGUGGUCACGUUCUCCUCCGCUCCUCGUGGUACCUCUCUUGUUUAUCGCGUCCGCGGAAGGAUCAGCAAUCCUUGAAGUACGUGGUGAAAGUCGUCGUCGUCCUCCCCCCCCUCUCGGACGAUACUACAGCGCGCUGUAACAAGGAAGUGGCCUAGGGUUUAAAAGGGGCUUCGUCACACAGGUGCUUCGGCGAAACGCUACAACAUCCGGGAAAGAAAGUGAGUCGGGCUGCGGAGCGGAGACUGCGAGCCGAAAUCGAAGCUGGACUCAAUGAGUAAAGCAACGCGCAAAACCUCAGAGGGAAAGAUCGUGACAGGCGAGGCCGCAGCCAUGAUCGCCGCCUACCGCCUCCGUGUCAUCGGAGACACCCUGAACCUCAGGUACCAGCUCAUGGACAUACUCGUGAGAGGGAAAAUACGCUCCACGAAGAAGGAGUGACGGCGGAGGAGUGGCACGGUGACGGCGAACGCGGCAAAACGGCGGAGCGUGUAGAGAUCCGGCCCGGCCGAUUAGGGAAUGACGACGCGACGGUCGGCGCCGCGGAGGAGCUCUGCUUGGUCGGCCGGCCGGCGGAAGAAAGAGCGCCGAGCGGGGUGGGGCGGCCGAAACGGUGGCUUCACUUCACGGACGACGUCGAUCAACGAGUGCAGGUUUUCCGGCAAACGGCAGGGAAAUCGCCACUUGAGAAGCAUGAAAACGCGACUCUUCUGUCGGGUCCAUCGAUUCACACAGACAGGAGUCCGAGUGACUGGAAUGGGCCGGUAGCUCCAGGAGGGAACGCGAAUGACUCGGCACUGUAGCCUCUUCAUUGGACCGAACCGCUGUCUGUCAGCACAGUGCAAUUGUGGACCGUUGUGUGUGUGUGUGUGUGUGUGUGUGUGUGUGUGUGUGUGUGUGUGUGUGUGAGAUUCACUCUAGCUUCUCUUACUUGAAUAAUCUUUCUUUUAUAUUCUCUCAGGCGUUAGCAUUUUAUUGGUUCAUUUUCUGGCUAAAUUUGACCUGAGAAUUCCUGUUGUACCUUUUUUUUUUUUUUUUUUUAUGCUGGUUAAAUAGUUUCAGGUGUGUUUAGAGGCCCAAGUUUCUGAAAAUUUCUUAGAGGCAGGUGUAGUAAAACAAAAUGUAGUGUGGCGCACAGCGCAGAGGCGGCUUUCGUCUCGAACGAUUUAUUUGAGCGCCAGCACCAGGGUGGUAAUGCUCUCGGUCCGGGGACCCCGUUUCCUUCCGGACCUGCACCUACAGCCAGCCCUCCCAAGCUCCUUAAUGCCCCCCAGGCUCUCUUCUUUCUCCCCACGGCAGACGUCAUCACCCCCUUAUAUUCCCCGUACAUCACGAGAAGCUAGCCAAUUACAAUAAACGCAUUUCCCGCUCAAAACA